GCCACAAUCAAGAGUUGGAUGCUCAACCGACCGAGCCACCCAGACCAAAUUUCUGAGAAGAUUAAGUACUACAUGAAGGAAAAUGCAAAACGUACAAAAAAAAAAAUCCAUUUGUGAACAGCAG